rnacentral:rRNA from 1 species
AGUGAACGCUGGCGGUAGGCCUAACACAUGCAAGUCGAACGGCAGCACAGUAAGAGCUUGCUCUUACGGGUGGCGAGUGGCGGACGGGUGAGGAAUACAUCGGAAUCUACUUUUUCGUGGGGGAUAAUGUAGGGAAACUUACGCUAAUACCGCAUACGACCUACGGGUGAAAGCAGGGGAUCUUCGGACCUUGCGCGAUUGAAUGAGCCGAUGUCGGAUUAGCUAGUUGGCGGGGUAAAGGCCCACCAAGGCGACGAUCCGUAGCUGGUCUGAGAGGAUGAUCGGCCAACCUGGAACUGAGACACGGUCCAGACUCCUACGGGAGGAGGCAGUGGGGAAUAUUGGACAAUGGGCGCAAGCCUGAUCCAGGCAUACCGCGUGGGUGAAGAAGGCCUUCGGGUUGUAAAGCCCUUUUGUUGGGAAAGAAAAGCAGCAGGUUAAUACCCAGCUGUUCUGACGGUACCCAAAGAAUAAGCACCGGCUAACUUCGUG